GUCCAGAGUCCAUGAGCUCUGUUCGGGGACUGAAGUGCAUUGUGUUGAUGGGGUGUCCGCAGUAAGUUCAGAAUCAAUACAGUGACUCCCCAGGAGCAGGGGACCCCCAAGUUGCCUAAGGAGGGAUGAACCAACCCAGGCUGGAAACAGAGCAGGUCAAAAUUCCCAUGCUGAUCAGAAGUAAAAGAUUCUUACAAAAACAAAAAUAUUCAU
rnacentral:sRNA from 1 species